CUUCCACAUGCUUCAUUGUACUUCACAGCCUGAAACAUAAUAUAAAACAUGUAACAUAUUGUCAACAUUGCAGAACUAGUUAUAUUUCUGUGAACAUAUUUUUCAAAUUACAACACAAUACUCACUUCUUCAGUAUUUAGGCUUUAUAUGUGGGUUAUUUAAGUAGGUCAGAGGUACAAUCAGGCUUUCUUGUGUCUCCUUCAGUAGUGGGGGUUUUAACCAAUCAAAUCAGUAAAGAAAAAAGAACACUGGUACUAGGGGAUUUUGGAGUGCAGUCUCAACACUGUGUCCCUGUUGAAGGUUGUGGGUCUGCCAGCAAGACAACCAAUAUCAAAUAAAAGCCCCUUGUCAUAGUUGCAGCGAUCUCACUGACAGCCACAAGACACAUUUGUUGGCAAUUUUCCGGGCCAAAAUCUGUGUCACCAAUAACUAGUGCUGGAGAACCAACAUUUUAAAUAUUUAUGAAAGUGCAUGGGUGUACAUAAAUUUGGCAACAUCUGUAUACUGUGUGGUAGGGUCAGAAAACGUUCACCUUUGUUUAACACUGAUGAUUCUGAAUUCAUGGAGCUUCAGCCCAGUAGGUGUCAGGCUUUUGCCUAUUGUUUUAUCACAGGACAAUCAAAACACAUCAGAAGAAAUAACUAGUUAACCAAUGUUGGCUAGGACACUUACAGUGUCAUUUGGCCCCAGAUAAUAAUUGUUACUGUCCCAUAGUUUAGUAAACGUUACUACAAACGAAUUAGUUAGCCAGCACUGGGACAUUUUCAGCAGGGGUGCGGUGUUCACCAGACGGAGCCAAGGGACGUUGUCUGUAGGUGUAGCCUACAGUAGUUUGCUGGCCUAGCUGGUUAGCAAGUUAACUUAUCAACUGUGGCCUUUGCCUUGCUGACAUAUGUGCACUUUAUGUACUCAGUUCAGCUCAGUUUACACCUGUUGCCUACUUCAAUCACCUUCUCAAAUUGGGUUUCUAUGGGAUUAAGCAGUCCUUCCUAGAAUAUUCCGAUUAUCAGGAGACAUGAAGAUCUCGUCAUUACAUACAGAUCUCAAUCACAACUCAGUCAGCUUGUGAGGGAUCAUUAAUGGAAUGUGGAAAAUUGUCUUCCAUGACGAUCCAAGAAAAUGUAACUUCCCGCUAAAGUAUCAAUAUGGUUUUAUUAUCAUUAUAGUAAAGUCCUGAGUGGUUUAGUAUCCUU
ensembl:lncRNA